rnacentral:rRNA from 1 species
AGAGUUUGAUCAUGGCUCAGAGCGAACGCUGGCGGCAGGCCUAAAACAUGCAAGUCGAACGGACCCUUCGGGGUUAGUGGCGGACGGGUGAGUAACACGUGGGAACGUGCCUUUUGGUUCGGAACAACUCAGGGAAACUUGAGCUAAUACCGAAUGUGCCCUUCGGGGGAAAGAUUUAUCGCCAUUAGAGCGGCCCGCGUUGGAUUAGCUAGUUGGUGAGGUAAAGGCUCACCAAGGCUACGAUCCAUAGCUGGUCUGAGAGGAUGAUCAGCCACACUGGGACUGAGACACGGCCCAGACUCCUACGGGAGGCAGCAGUUAGGAAUCUUGCGCAAUGGGGGAAACCCUGACGCAGCCAUGCCGCGUGAAUGAUGAAGGUCUUAGGAUUGUAAAAUUCUUUCAGCGGGGACGAUAAUGACGGUACCCGCAGAAGAAGCUCCGGCUAACUUCGUGCCAGCAGCCGCGGUAAUACGAAGGGGGCUAGCGUUGCUCGGAAUUACUGGGCGUAAAGGGCGCGUAGGCGGAUUGUUAAGUCAGAGGUGAAAGCCCAGGGCUCAACCUUGGAACUGCCUUUGAUACUGGCAAUCUUGAGUUCGGGAGAGGUGUGUGGAACUCCGAGUGUAGAGGUGAAAUUCGUAGAUAUUCGGAAGAACACCAGUGGCGAAGGCGACACACUGGCCCGAUACUGACGCUGAGGCGCGAAAGCGUGGGGAGCAAACAGGAUUAGAUACCCUAGUAGUCC